rnacentral:rRNA from 1 species
GACGAACGCUGGCGGCGUGCUUAACACAUGCAAGUCGUACGGUAAGGCCCUUUCGGGGGUACACGCGUGGCGAACGGGUGAGUAACAAGUGCGUAAGCUGCCCACACCUUUGGGAUAAAGCAAGGAAACUGGUGCUAAUACUGGCUAUGUGCUCCUGCUGCAUGGUGGGGGUUGGAAAGCUCCGGGGGUUGUGGAUGGACUCGCGGCCUAUCAGCUUGUUGGUGGGGUAGUGGCCUACCAAGGCGGCGACGGGUAGCCGGCCUGGGAGGGUGACCGGCCACAAUGGGACUUGGAGACGGCCCCGGCGCCGACGGGGGGGAGCAGGGGGGAAUAUUGGACAAAGGGCGCGAACCCUAUGCAGCAACGCCGGGGGCGGGAAUACCGGCUUCGGGGUGGAAACCGCUUUCAGCAGGGACGAAGCUGUUUGUGACGGUACCUGCAAAAGAAGCACCGGCUAACUACGUG